AGAUUGAUAAUGUAAUUCUAUUUCCCAUCUACUCAUUCUUUCUCUUCCUCCUCUCUACUACCUUCUUCUUCCUCUUCCCUGCCUAUCCUUCUCCCUCUCUAUCCCUCUAUUCCUCUGUUCUCAAUUCUCCUGCUCCUUACUAUCUCGCGUCCCUGAGUAAUCCCCUCUAAUCCUCUUCAUCGGACUAUCAUAUCCAAUCAGAAUUG
rnacentral:lncRNA from 1 species